GGAGGGUGUAGCUCAGUGGUAGAGUGCAUGCUUAGCAUGCAUGAGGUCCUGGGUCCAAUCCCCAGUACCUCCA
rnacentral:tRNA from 1 species